rnacentral:rRNA from 1 species
UACGAGGGGUGCAAGCGUUAUUCGGAGUGAUUGGGUGUAAAGGGUGCGUAGGCGGUAUGUUUAGUCAAUUGUUAAAUUUCUCAGCUUAACUGGGAGUCGGCAGUUGAUACUGGCGUGCUAGAGGGUGGAAGAGAGAAGUGGAAUUCUCGGAGUAGCGGUAAAAUGCGUAGAUCUCGAGAGGAACACCAAUGGCGAAGGCAGCUUUUUGGUCCAUUCCUGACGCUGAGGCACGAAAGCAUGGGGAGCAAACAGG